CAGAAUUCGCCCUUAGAGUUUGAUCCUGGCUCAGGACGAACGCUGGCGGCGUGCCUAACACAUGCAAGUCGAACGGAGUGUUGCGCUGAAUAUGAGAUUAGCUUGCUAAAGGAAUAUUCUUGUAACACUUAGUGGCGGACUGGUGAGUAACGCGUGAGCAACCUGCCUUACAGAGGGGGACAACAUUGGGAAACCGAUGCUAAUACCGCAUGACAUAUUCGAAAGGCAUCUUUUGAAUAUCAAAGGAGUAAUCCGCUGUAAGAUGGGCUCGCGUCCGAUUAGUUAGAUGGUGGAGUAACGGCCUACCAUGACGACGAUCGGUAGCCGGACUGAGAGGUUGAACGGCCACAUUGGGACUGAGAUACGGCCCAGACUCCUACGGGAGGCAGCAGUGGGGAAUAUUGCACAAUGGAGGAAACUCUGAUGCAGCAACGCCGCGUGAAGGAAGAAGGUCUUCGGAUUGUAAACUUCUGUUUUUAGUGACGAAGGAAGUGACGGUAGCUAAAGAGGAAGCCACGGCUAACUACGUGCCAGCAGCCGCGGUAAUACGUAGGUGGCAAGCGUUGUCCGGAUUUACUGGGUGUAAAGGGUGCGCAGGCGGGACUGCAAGUUGGAUGUGAAAUACCGGGGCUUAACCCCGGAGCUGCAUCCAAAACUGUAGUUCUUGAGUGAAGUAGAGGUAAGCGGAAUUCCGAGUGUAGCGGUGAAAUGCGUAGAUAUUCGGAGGAACACCAGUGGCGAAGGCGGCUUACUGGGCUUUAACUGACGCUGAGGCACGAAAGCAUGGGUAGCAAACAGGAUUAGAUACCCUGGUAGUCCAUGCCGUAAACGAUGAAUGCUAGGUGUGGGGGGACUGACCCCUUCCGUGCCGGAGUAAACACAAUAAGCAUUCCACCUGGGGAGUACGACCGCAAGGUUGAAACUCAAA
rnacentral:rRNA from 1 species